rnacentral:tRNA from 1 species
GCCUGGGUGGCUCAGUGAGUAAAGCGUCUGACUUUGGCUCAGGUCAUGAUCUCAGGGUCUGUGGGUUCAAAACCCAUGUCAGGCU